UUGUUGACCUCAAUGUUUCAGUUUCUCUACAGUGGAAAGUCAUUUUUGCCCAUGUUGGCCUCGCGUUUUUCAUUAUUCAUCUCUGUACUUCGACCGUGCCUUCUUGUUCGCUUUACCUUUUGCUUCAUCUGUGCUUUUCAUGUCUUCCUUUCGCCCUCUGUUUUUCUUGAAUCCUCUAUUGCUCUCGAAUCUUUCGUUCCUUAUUUCAUAAAAUAUUCACCAAACAGAACCUGAUUUUCGUUUUUAAGGGAUUUUGUUUGCGCUCUCCGUUUUGAGGGAAGUUGUGUUCCUCUGUAAAGCUAGCUGUAGAACUAGGGUUCUGGGAGUUUUGUGGAAAGUCAUAAAAUUCGUUUCUAGGGUUCUUAAACUUGCAAUUGGCGGGCCAAAACUUCAUAGUAUUUGUUUCUUUUGCCGUUUGGGAUUCCGGAGUUGUCGCUGGAUUUCUGGCGAAUCUGUAGCGCGGUUUGGGAGCGGGCUGUCUUCAGAUCAUUGUGAAACAAAUUUUAUGGAAUUCAGUUCAUAAAUCUCAGAUUUGGCAGCAAUUGGAACACCACUGUUAUUUUUUGGGUAUGUUAUAUGUCCUUCCAUUUUUUUAUUUAUACUGUUAGUGUAGGAACCCAUCUGUUGGGUGAAGUGGUAGGUCUAAAAAUGGAUAUCAUCCAGUGGAAGAACCCAUAUGUGGUGUUUAUUUUUAGACAAGAUGGGAAGAUGUAAACAGUUGGAGGUCCAUACCAUUUUCCAAGUUCUUUGUUAAUGUGAAUGUUUAUGUUAUUCUGAUUCGAUUUGUAAACAAAUAAUUGCUUUCAAAA